CUCACAAUCCCAUCUCACACUAUUAUAACCUAAAGACACUACUCAUCCGUACAACAACAAAAUUUCCACUUUUAAUCAAUCUCAUCCUCUUGUUCCCUUUUCUCCAUCUUUUCCAAAUCUCAUCAAACAUCUAUUAGCUUCUCUUCCUUAACUUUACCUACAUGGAAGAUUUCAUCCUUUCACCUUCUUCAUACUCAUCUAUGAUUUCACUCCCCCAUGAAAACCCUUCACAACAAACACAAACCCUUCAAAAAAAAUAUACACAAGUUUUAGCCAUUCUAUGAAACACAAACCCAUUCUAUGAUUUUUGGCUAUAACGAGACAACCCAUUCUUAUUUGAGAGGAAUGAUCAAAAAUAAGAAAAAAAACCAAAAUUGUGUGAUUUUAAAAUAUGGAACAUCAUAAUUCUAUAAAUAAAUAAAAAUAAGGAAGUCCAUUUUCUCAUAGGAAUCUAAUUAGUACCACACUAUUCCAUCUCACAUUAUUUGCAUAUGAGGAUUUGUUGCAGUGAUAAAAGAUCAGAAUAACACGUAGUAAUUUUUCUCAUCCAUUAAUUUCACAUCAGACAGCUUACAACCACAUGCAUCAAAAUAAUCUGGACCAUUCAGCAAAAUUGGACGGUUGAUACUGUAACUAUGUUAACGCAGUUAUAGCAGGUGAUCCGUUUCCAUUAUUUGGACCAAAUUGUCUCGAUCAAUUCCCACCUAUUUUAACAUUAUUACUUCACAAUAUAAGUUCAAGUAAACCCGUCCCCUUGCACUCAUAAAUAUUCCUAUCUUCUCACAAUCCCAUCUCACACUAUUAUAACCUAAAGACACUACUCAUCCGUACAACAACAAAAUUUCCAUUUUUUAUCAAUCUCAACCUCUUGUUCCCUUUUCUCCAUCUAUUAGCUUCUCUUCCUUAACUUUACCUACAUGGAAGAUUUCAUCCUUUCACCUUCUUCAUAUUCAUCUAUGAUUUCACUCCCCCAUGAAAACCCUUCACAACAAACACAAACCCUUCAAAAAAAACUUCAAUUAUUACUACAAACCCA
rnacentral:lncRNA from 1 species